ACGUUAGCGGCGGACGGGUGAGUAACACGUGGGUAACCUACCUAUAAGACUGGGAUAACUUCGGGAAACCGGAGCUAAUACCGGAUAAUAUUUCGAACCGCAUGGUUCGAUAGUGAAAGGUGGUUUUGCUAUCACUUAUAGAUGGACCCGCGCCGUAUUAGCUAGUUGGUAAGGUAACGGCUUACAAAGGCGACGAUACGUAGCCGACCUGAGAGGGUGAUCGGCCACACUGGAACUGAGACACGGUCCAGACUCCUACGGGAGGCAGCAGCA
rnacentral:rRNA from 1 species